ensembl:snRNA U2 U2 spliceosomal RNA
AUCGCUUCUCGGCCUUUUGGCUAAGAUCAAGUGUAGUACCAUUCUGUGUAUCCUUUUUGAGAAAGAAAAUAAAUUCAAAUGGUGUAAGUUAAUGAUAGAUGCUAUGCCUUAGAUAUAGUUUGAAUGCAUCCCCCAGCAUUCAUGGGCUGGAAGCUUC